GGGGAUUUAGCUCAGUGGUAUAAGCGCCUGCCUGGCAAGCAGGAGUUUGAUCCCCC
rnacentral:tRNA from 1 species